CCUGGGCCUGCGGCUCGCCUGCCCUGGCCAUCACUGCCGAGUGGGCUCCAGGCCGCGGCAGCUGUGGAGCCCUCCCCGUGCCCUCCUGCCUGCCGUGGGGACAGAGAGGGACCCAGAGUCCCGACGAUGUCACCGGAGACCCUCGAGGAGCCAGGCCUGAAAUCUUUCCCCAGAGGUUUCUGUUCCGUGAAUUCUGAGUCCUCGUCUGCAGGCUGCCCCAGGACGGUGCCCUGGAGCCUGAAGCAGGGAUGGGAGUUCAGAUGCCGGAACCCUGAGACUGGCACGAGGUGGAGUGUGAGGCGCUGCAGGCUGCUCCCUGUGGCCUCUCGGGCCUGAAGAGGGCCUCCUCUUCCUGUGCCUAUGUCCUGAUCGCCUCUUCCUUUUUAGGGGUUUGGUUCUGACCCAGGGCUGCAGCUGCAUCGAAGUUGCUCUGCACUCUGAAUGAGCUGUCAGUCAGCUUCUGUCACGGUCACUGUCCCUGAGAACUUCAUCUCCCAUGGAGGAGAGGCUGUGUGCUGAUUCUUGUGCAGAGGAGAAGCUUCCAUGUUCAUGGUGCACCACGCUGGGCACGAGAGGAGUAGGGUGCCGUGAGCAUCACACAAGGGGGCAAAGAGAGGCAGGGAGCACGCUGGUCCCCUCUGAGGGACCACUCUGAGGGCCACCACAGCCCCUGCCUCGCCCCACCAGGCCCCUCAUCAUUCCCCAGUGCCCCACAGGGCCGGAGGUGGUCAAGCCCUGAGCACGUGCGCUGAGGACAACGUCUAGGCCAGGCCAUGGAGGAGCUGAACUUCACGUGUUGCCCCCCCUGAGGACGCUUGCAGUUUAACCAGGAGCCACUGCUCAUUCUGCACGCAUCGCCCGGACCUCACGAUGAGGUAGACUUUUCUCCACAUGUGGCCAGCAGGCAGGAGCGGCCAGCUCAGGUGCUUGGUAGGGGCUGGCACACGUGGGACUCACGUUCCUGCUACAACCACAGGAGUUGGCCCCAGUUCCCUGACAUCCAGGGUUCUGCCAUGAGGAAAGUGCCCCAGAGAGGGCUGCCAGCGGCUCCACUAAAUCUGUCCCUUGGGCUCCCCUUUGCCCCAUAGACAAAGCAGCUGCGCCCACAGCCUCUCUCCUGCCUCAGCCUCUUGGAUCAGACAUGUGUGGAACGGAGCAGGAAAGGCUGGAAAGAGCUCAGAUUUACACCCAGAGUCCAGGCUGCCCCUUCUGCAGCCGUGGUGACCACAGCUCUGUGACUCUACGCUCUACACACAGGGCUUCUGCAGCCCUUUUUAUUGAUUGACGUAUUUAAGUUGGUAGAGACAAAAGGAACACAAGGGUCAGCAGAGGAAAAUCUCCUGCCUGCCUCCAGCUGAACUCUCCCAGAAGACGCUAUGGAUGUGUGGACAUAUGCAGACGCACACACACGCAUGCACACGCUCACACACACACGCACAUGCUCACACACACACACGUGGUAGCAGUGUUCUUUGGCUGGAGUUACAAAGGGAGAAGGCUUACGUUGGCCUCCAUCCCAGCUGCCAGCCACAGUUUAUCCAGGGAGAGACUGCCCGUGCUGGCCCUGCUGAGAGGCUGGGGACCCCAAUCCCUCCAGGGUCCUCACUGAUCUGAGAGCUUGCAGGCCCUGCCCCUUGAAGUCCCCCACUCCCGGGCCUUGGGCGGUGUGAUAGCAGCAAUAAAAAUGCUGUUUUCACCAGCUGUGUCCAGGGCAGGGGUCUUAGAGACGGCUCCCUUCCCUAUAGGAAGAACCACCCACGUUUUCUUUUAAAUGGUCAUGUUUUCCCGGUGUGAAUGUGCCAUAAUUUGUGUCCUCGUUCGCUUACAGAGAGUGUUUAGCUUGUUUCCAACCUUUUGGAAUACAUUGAUGAUAUUAUUUCCCUAUUUUUUUGCUCUUGUUUUUGCUUUUUUGAGACAAGAUCUGGCUGUGUAGCCCAGGCCGGCCUCAAACUCGCUCCCUUGCUCCGCCUUGGCCUCCUGAGUGCUGGGAUGACAGGCCUGUGCUGUGGUGCCCGGCUGUCAGCUCCCUACUCUGGCCCGUUCCGUUCCACAGCUU
ensembl:lncRNA